CAAACUCCCACUUUUACGAGGAGCCUGGGAUAAUUCCACUGCAGUAAAGCACUGGGGAGAGAGGAUUAUUGCCUCAUCAGACCCCCCUCACUGCUGGGAAGACAAAGGAAGAGGCAUACCUAAAGGAAAAUUGUGAAGUCUGAUGAGCUAAAAUGCAGUCUGGAGGAAAUCACAGGUUAUUUGCUGCACCUGAACAGAGAAUGUCUAUUCUAAUGACACUGAUGUUCUGCAAGCAAUUCUAGUUUUUACAGGACAACACUGUGAGUUAAGGUGAAGGGAGGCUGCAUCUGGAGCAAUGUGUCUGCUGGAGGUUCCUCAGUGCAAGAGACAUGGAGCUCCUGGAGUGAGUCCAGAAGAAGGCUGUGAAGAUGGUUAAGGGACUGGAGCACCUCUAUUACAAGAAAAAGCUGAGUGAGCUGGGCCUGUUCAGCACUGAGGUGAGACAGCUGAGGUGGGAUCUCAUCAAUGUCUAUAAGUAUCAGAAGGGAGGGUGCUAAGAGGUUGGAGCCAGGUGCUUCUGAGUGAUGCCAAGCAAUAGGAGCAGAGACAACUGGCAGAAACUGAUGCACAGGAAAUUCCACCCAAACAUGAGGAGGAACAUUAUCCUGUGGGUGACCACACACUGGAACAGAUUGCUCAGAGAG